rnacentral:sRNA from 1 species
GUUUUCCCUUGGGGCAUUAGGCACUUAAACUUGCUGCUAACCCGCAUUUGAGGGCAAUCUGCUGAAUCGAACCAAACAUCAGUGGCAUAGUUAAUUAGGAUCUCGGGAGCCGACAUCGUCUUUCACCUGCUGAUUCCUGUCGUUUGCAGGCACCGCAAUCAAAAUUAGCUCAGUGGCUUGCGGUGGUGAUGCACUUGGGUCCCCACGCCCUAGAAGUCCCCACCACAUCAUUCCUAUCGCCCCCAUUCUAGAUCGCAUAAACAACAAUUAAAACGCUACAAAUUGCACACACAAACAUCCUUCAAAGGAUGUGGCCCAUGCUCCGCUACCCGGCUUUUCAGUCCGGAGGAACUCGGGCGAGGGAUGGGUGGCUGAGGUCGAGGUGGAUGCUUCAAAAUCCAUGUUAAUUGCUAUUUUGCUCCCAUUGGCUUUAAAAAUCCUUGCAAGAAAACUAACAACCUGGGGGUCAGAUUUUCCUGAUUUGGCAUUCAUUCUACGGCCAGGACAAUAACAACUCCGAGGGAAUAUCCUUGCUGCUCCCCUAGUUCACUUUCCUCCGCUUUUACUCGUGGGAAAAGGGAGAACCGGAGAACAGGCAGAAUGGAAAGAUGCGGGGAGUGGGAAAUUACACUGGCGACCCAGUAAACAGAUGUGACGCGUGUGUGGCAGGACUCCACUGUCCAGGACUCCACUUUUCCUCCAGCUGGCCUUCUUCUGCUCGUUUGUCAUAAGUUUACUUUUAAUAUAAAAGUUUCCUCGCUUUGGAUAUGUUGAAAAGUGAUCAUCGUGAUAAUUACACGGCCAUAAUGAUGGGUCUACUGCACAGUGGGUCAAAAUGAACUAUAAAGGAC